rnacentral:rRNA from 1 species
GAUGAACGCUGGCGGCGUGCCUAAUACAUGCGAGUCGGGCGAACAGACGAGGAGCUUGCUCCUCUGACGUUAGCGGCGGACGGGUGAGUAACACGUGGAUAACCUACCUAUAAGACUGGGAUAACUUCGGGAACCGGAGCUAAUACCGGAUAAUAUAUUGAACCGCAUGGUUCAAUAGUGAAAGACGGUUUUGCUGUCACUUAUAGAUGGAUCCGCGCCGCAUUAGCUAGUUGGUAAGGUAACGGCUUACCAAGGCAACGAUGCGUAGCCGACCUGAGAGGGUGAUCGGCCACACUGGACCUGAGACACGGUCCAGACUCCUACGGGAGGCAGCAGUAGGGAAUCUUCCGCAAUGGGCGAAAGCCUGACGGAGCAACGCCGCGUGAGUGAUGAAGGUCUUCGGAUCGUAAAACUCUGUUAUUAGGGAAGAACAAAUGUGUAAGUAACUAUGCACGUCUUGACGGUACCUAAUCAGAAAGCCACGGCUAACUACGU